rnacentral:tRNA from 1 species
AGUAAGGUAAGCUAAAUGUAAGCUUAUAGGUUCAUACCCUAUGUAUAGAAGAUAAACCUUCUCCUUCCUA